rnacentral:rRNA from 1 species
AGUCGAGCGAACGGACGAGAAGCUUGCUUCUCUGAUGUUAGCGGCGGACGGGUGAGUAACACGUGGAUAACCUACCUAUAAGACUGGGAUAACUUCGGGAAACCGGAGCUAAUACCGGAUAAUAUUUUGAACCGCAUGGUUCAAAAGUGAAAGACGGUCUUGCUGUCACUUAUAGAUGGAUCCGCGCUGCAUUAGCUAGUUGGUAAGGUAACGGCUUACCAAGGCAACGAUGCAUAGCCGACCUGAGAGGGUGAUCGGCCACACUGGAACUGAGACACGGUCCAGACUCCUACGGGAGGCAGCAGUAGGGAAUCUUCCGCAAUGGGCGAAAGCCUGACGGAGCAACGCCGCGUGAGUGAUGAAGGUCUUCGGAUCGUAAAACUCUGUUAUUAGGGAAGAACAUAUGUGUAAGUAACUGUGCACAUCUUGACGGUACCUAAUCAGAAAGCCACGGCUAACUACGUGCCAGCAGCCGCGGUAAUACGUAGGUGGCAAGCGUUAUCCGGAAUUAUUGGGCGUAAAGCGCGCGUAGGCGGUUUUUUAAGUCUGAUGUGAAAGCCCACGGCUCAACCGUGGAGGGUCAUUGGAAACUGGAAAACUUGAGUGCAGAAGAGGAAAGUGGAAUUCCAUGUGUAGCGGUGAAAUGCGCAGAGAUAUGGAGGAACACCAGUGGCGAAGGCGACUUUCUGGUCUGUAACUGACGCUGAUGUGCG